GAUUCUCGCUGGUUUUCUCAGUAAUAGAUGUUGUUAAUAAAAGCCUCAGCUCCCUGUUAAAAGGCUUUGCAGCUGUGAAGCUGAGCUAAUUGGAACAGCUAAUGUUCCAAUUGUGUUUCAAUUGCACACCUGUUAAAGCAGUUACUUUAAGUUACCAAAGCCAGGUGUACUCCUGCUUUGGGUUUGGAAGGUUGUAGUAGCAGUAAUAUGUUCUGCUCUGAUCUCGAAGCAUUCAGCUUCAAGGGUCAAACUCCUUGGCUGAUAGCCAGAAAGUGAGUCUGAGGGUGGAGAAGCUUGGGAAAUGGCAGCAGAGUGAAAGGAGAAGGAAGACCUUCCUGAAGAUUUGCUGGAGAUGUUUUGCAAGUUCCCUCCCUGGAGCUUGGGAAGAGUUCCUCAGCAGUGCACCAGGAAUGUGUGCCCAGAUGCUGGGGCUGCGGGAGCUCGGCGUGCCAGCGCUUUCUGCUUUGCUUUCUGUUUUCUCCCAGAGGCCAGUGGCAGGGGUUGAGAAUGGCACCAUUUAUAUUCUUUUUCUUCGGUCAUUUUAAUUUCAUUCUACUAUUGUGGUCAGACUCUUCAGAUGAAGAAUUAAGCUCAUUUUCCAGCAGCAGCUACAUAAAUGAGUGCAAGACACAAUAUUUCUGGGAGGGGAUCCUUUGAUCCAAGAAAGAAACCCUUCUUGAACAUUUCUCUUUAGAAGAGCAGAGAAACCCCCGUAUUCAGUUCAGGGUGCUGCUCAGAGAGGAUGUGAUAACACUUUUUGCUACCAUUUCUGGUUACCAGGUGACAAACUUCCACCUGUAUCAUUGAUGAUUCCAUCUUGAACCUUUUCAUCACAAACUUUCUUCUCCUGUUUAAUUAUAAGAAAAUGACAUUGCUUUGUUUGGGUUUUUUUAAAACCAUACUGGAUUCUGAAGGCAUGAAAUAUGUUGUCAGAAGAGGAAAAUGUGGAGUGUGGAAAAAGUCUGGUUUCACUGACUAGUUCCUUUGCUUCCUUGUGCUUUGGUCUCCACUGCACCCUCUGGAUGUACUUUGUCUGGAGCCCUCCAGAAAUGGUUUCUGCUGGCCCAUUAAGAUCCUUUUGUGGGUACAUCUCCACAGAUGUACAUCCAGGUAGAAAAGAAGGAUCACAAAGGUUCAAUUCCACCGUUACAUGUUUUAAUAUGUUCACUAAAGGGAAAUAAAGAUUGGGCAAAGUGCUGAGGGCUUCAGAGGACGUUUCCCAGCUGCCUGAAGGGCAGAAUAUACAAUACUGGAUACUUCCUGCCAGCUGCCAUGCAAACCUGGCAUCCUUUACUCCGCCCCCACUGCUGAAGGUUAACAUGGAAGCUCAAGUGUCUUCCAGCUCUUGCAAUUUAUUUAAAAAAAACAACCCAACUUAAAAUAAGUAACUAUCUUUUGAACCUGACAAAACAUCUCUACUUCCCUGAGUGCAUUGGGAAUCCCGUUUGCCCAAGUAGUAAACCACAUAUUUAAUUUUAAGGGAGUGACUCCCGCUGGCCUAAAUGAUGUCAUUUGCAUAUUGAAACACUUGGGUGAGGCAGGGCCAUUGCUAUUAGAGCUAAUGAAUGACAUCUCAAUCAUUAGACAGAUCCAAGCCCUAAGCAAUUCGCAUUACAAUGGGGAGAAAGUGCUGAUUUCAAGCUCAAAGGGAUGCUAUUAACCCAGGGUAAUCCCAGAUUCAAACACUGUUUGUCAGCACAAGUGGAAUCAUUCUGAUCUUCUGAUAAGGACACACGUACCUGACACCCAUCUCCCCUCUCCAAUGCACAGGAAGCCUACUGUUAAAAUAAGUCCAGGUUUGCAAAGAUUGGGGGAAAAGUCCUACUUUCAGGUUCAUCUGAAGAACAGAUUUUUUUCUUGAGGUUUCUAACAGAUGUGUUCAGGAACUAGAGUAGCGGAGGGAGGAAUUGUUUCACUUGGAAACCAGGUGGAAAGAUUAAUUUAUUUGUAUUUUUUUUUUAAUUUUUACUUUUUUGGGGUGGGCAGAGGGAGAACCUGACCAGAACUGCAGGCGGUAGGUGUGCAUUUUUCCUUCUUUUUUUAAUGAAAACCAUUGUAUAUAGUUUGAUAAUGUUACUUUUACUUUUUGUUAAUGAUUUUGGGGGGCAAUUUGUUUGCUCUAUUCUGUUGUGUUUUCUUUUAGGUAUAUUUUUAAUGGGCUUUUGGAAUUCGUGCGUGAAAGUUCCUCACCCAAAAUGUCCUAAGGACAUUCCUGUUGUGUUUUUUUCUCCCCAAGUUCAGUAGUGAAAAGGUGCUUUGUGUCGGCAAACCUGUUUUUAGUGGGGAUAAACAUAUCCCCAAAGGCCACACCUAGGGACCAGGCGCCAGUGACCUCUCCCAGACAAAAAACGCUCCCUCCACAACUCUUCAUUUACAUUUACAAAGUUCGAAAGGGCUACGUUAGGGACCAGCCGACUGGAAAUGGUCUCUUCCCACCUCAGGUGGUCUGUUUGAAAGCCGUGAAGUCUGGCAAGAGUCGCUGUGUCCUCUUCAGCAGCGUUCUACAGCCUGAAAUCACAGGCUUGGCUAGAAAGAGCUGAAAAUUAAUUUAGAAAGACGUUUAUUUGAAGAUGGCAAGUUCUUGCAGGGUACCUGCUCAAGUAUUACUGUCUGUUGCUAUUGUUUUCCCUCCUCUGGAUCCAGCAGCACACUCGGGUUCAAGCUUAGCUUUAGGCUGUGCUUCACCCUGAGCCUUUGUGCAAAUGCUUUGCUGGAUAAAGGUCUCCCCUUCUUUUACACUUUGGUUCUUUUUCUUCUCUUCCCCUCUUUUUGUCCCUAUUUCCUCCGGCUGUCUUUGAUCCAGACAAAAUAAUUGCUUUCUUUUCUGCAUUUUCAGAAAAUCUUUGUUGGUUACUUUUUGAUCAUUUUCCACUCACUGUUAAUAUCUACCCUUCCUUCCAUCCUUCCUCCCUCCUUGUAAGCCUUCUUUGGUUAACAUUUUGGUCUGACAACAUCGUGACAAAACAUGAAUUAAGAUUGUAGAUGUUUGUGAUUUAUUUUAGAGUUGACUGUAAAGCUUUUACUGUUUAAAAGGCAGCAAGGGCAGUGUAGUUUUGUAGCUUUCUUACGAUUUUGCUUGUUCUUUUUUUAAACGGAGUUAGAAUAUUGCAGAUUUUUUUUCCAAGAAAAACCUGCUAAGCUUUUUUUUUUUUUUUCCUGCAAAACAUGAGUUUGUUGAACUGCUGUUUCAAAGCUCAGUAAGUUAGAUAUUAAUGGCAGGUACGAGAGGACUGAAUGUGGAGCUUGUGGAGUGCAACUUACACUAUUGCUUUCCGUGGUAUGCUGUUUGUCAGUCUCUUGUCUCCGGUGGGGGUUUGCUGGGAGUGUGAAAUUCCAUUUUGUGAUAAUUCCAUUGUUUUUUUCACAGUCAGGUUUCAAAAUGUUGCUUCAGUAAAUCGUUCCUUUUGCUCUCCUGCAAAGAUUUGCUUUUACCCUGAUGUUGCACCCUACCAGCAGUGCCACAGACCGAGCAGAUUCACCCUUUUUUUGAGCCUUCCACAGAAAGAAUGUUAGCUCCUUAAAUUCCACAGCCUUUUCUGGGUGAUGUCAGUGAAAAGGAGAGGGAGGCAGCAGGACAGUGCAGGCCACCAUAAACAGACUCUUCUCUGAGUCUGGUCCCUCAGCAUUCAUUCAUGACCUGCCCCAUUCCUACUCCCUUUGCUCUGUUAUUCCUUGUUCUCACUCAUGUUACAUUUAAAGAAGGGAAAACUGAGGCAAAGCAUUCGUUGUGUUCACCCCCACCCCAAAAGGGCUGAGAUUAUCCCCCUGAUGCAGGAGGAACAGCCUGACCCCACACCAUUCUCAUGGCUUUAGGGAUACAGAAUGAACUCCAUCCGGAUGCUGAGCAGGCAGCAAUGGGCACACUUUCAUCCCCAGGGGGUGCAGUGAGUGGCUGUGGGGAGGGGUUUCUCCCCAUGCUCCGGCUUGGAGGUGGCUGGGCUGUCCCUCAUCCAGCUGGCUUAGCUGCUCCAAAAAGUCACAUUGAUCCCCUCUCGGCCUUCAGAGUCCUCAGAGCAACAGGAAACACACUGGAUGGCCUUUCCCACACCUGGAAUGCUCCUGUCAUUGGCACUGCUCCAGUUUCUCAUCUUUGUGUCACUUGGACACCAAAUUCUUUGGUCCUGGGACACCUUCUGUCCAAGAUCUGCUCGUCAGCCAACACCAGACAAACACUAAUGACCUGCAGGAGAAUGAUUUCUGAAGCAACUCUGUGUCCUUACAUAUCUGGUUUCCUUGUAUUUUACAAGAGAAGUUUUUUUUUCCCCUUUGAUGGCAUUGGAUGUAGAAUAUUUAUUGUAGCUGUAGUAAAGUGAUGAAUUGUGAGUAGACCUUGACAGGGCAUUGUUUCUGUGUUUCUCUUAUAGACACUGAUCAAUUGAUUGAGAUGUUUAAAUCUGAAUACAUUUUUUACAUUUUUUUUCUCUUCACAUUGAGCUUUUCAGCCUGUAUAUUGAAUAUCCAAUGUUAUUUGGCAUUGAUUCAUGUAUGUGCUGUGUUUACUUUUGUGUUACCAGUAAUUUUUACUGUCAUUGUGCUGUUUCUAAGACAUUAUUUCAACUCCUUUUGACAUAGUUUAGCUACUUGGAAUUUUUUGGACUUUCACAAAGUUCCUCACUAAAUAAUUGCUAGAAUGAAGAGAACAAAGGGCUGCUCUUUCCCACAGGCUUUUCAACCUCAGUAGGAGCUUCUUCAGCCAAAAUGAGCAUUUGACUUUUGUUUUUUGCUUUUUUCUUGAUAAUACAAUAGUGGUGAUUUGUUUGGUUUUUAAUCCUGGGAAUUCUGAAUUCCAUGUUGACCAUUCCUAGCAUUAUUUUACAAAAGCAGAGACAGCUGUGCCAUAAGGAGUGAUGCUGAUCGUAACAGAACUAAAAUAUUGUAAUUAUUUGGUGUUUCUUUAUAAAUAUUUUUUUUUCACUAUUAAGUUUUUAAGCAAAUCUUUUUUCAGUGUGAUAUAAGAUUAAAAAGACACUAAAGGACUAAAUACUCAACAUGUACAAGGAAAGGGAUUCAGGUAAAUUAUUUCCAUCUGUAGGACUGAAAAAUAGCUUAGGAAUUUUUAUGUCAGAACAAAAGCUGAGUUUAAGUUACACAUUUCCUGAGUCCAUUUAUUAAUCCAGUGACUUCAAUGAAACCAUCACUGUCCUGGAAACCAGAGAUACACUUAAAGAACCCCCUGAAUCCACUCCUCAGUAGUAAAUAAAGCUGGGUUUUGUAGAAGUAAAGUGUUGCUUAAAUACAGUACCUUCAAAGCAUUUCUGUCUUCUUGUAAAAAUAGGAAUUUUAUGUUUAAUCACCAAGUACCUAUUUAUCAGAUAAAGAAGCCAGUGCUGAUAUUAUCAGAGUAGCUGGUUUAUAUUGUGAUAAAAACUGCUAUGCAGAGCUGUAUAUUAUAAUUUUAAAUGCCUUACCUUAGUAAAGUCUUGACAUUAAUUAUCUACAUUAGGAGAACAAAUAUGUGAGAAUUUAGGAGGAAGUUUUAUUUGGGGAAUGGGUUUUUGGAUAACUAAAAGUGGGCUAAAAAACCAGGCAGGAGGUUAUGAAAAAUAUCUCUGGCUGGGAGGAUGGCUGUAAUGGUAAACAUGACAUUAUAUUUAAAGUGUCAUCCCAAUAUUUUCCAAGAGGAGUCUGAUGAAUUCCUUGUGCCUUGUGUUGAAGCUUUACUCCUUUGUGUCAAUGUUUUAGUGAGGUUUCUACUUUAAUUUAUAAAUUAAAUACAUACAUAGAUACCUAUUCCAGUACAGUCUGUUUUUGUUCCCUACGAUGUACAUACUUUCUUCUCCUUUUAUAAAAGUGCCUGUUUACCUA